rnacentral:lncRNA from 1 species
GUGACACGGUUUGCAGCACAGACUCUGCUUCGGUUUCUUGGGGUCUGGAGCAAAUGACUGCAGCUGGGCAUCUGCUGGGUCUCGUCCACAUGAGAUUACCUUAGGACUUUGAGAUCGCCCGGCGUAGCCAUGAUGACUCUCUCUGAUGGACAGCUAAGGGCCCUGGCAAACUGAUGAGUCAAGGGCUGGGACCUGGAGGAAAGAGGACUUACCUGAGACGGACAGAUGGCAGGUGGACAGAUGGCAGAAACAACCAGUCUAGGUGCUUCCUACUACAAGGGUGGGAACCGAGGCUCCACAGAGUGCAAGGAUUGGCCAUGGCAUGCAGCAAGGGCCCCGGUCUAGGAAGCAAGCUAUUCGGGCUUCCUCUGAUCUGGGCACAGGCUGGGGCUCCAGGAGGUACCCCCUUUCCUCAGACAAUAGUGUCCACUCCAAAGCAAGUCAAGAGCGGUGUUUCCACAGACCAUGCUUUAAGGCAAACCUGGAUCCAUCCCAGGGGAGGCUGCACCGUGCUUUGAUUUACAAUGUGAAGGAAAUGGUCACAGGGUUGGCGCCUGGUUCCGGUUUGGGAUUCCGCACUAUUCUCUGUGUACCUCAGCCCAGCAUUUAUUUACACCACUGGAGUGUGAAUUCUAUGAAUAAAUUUUAUUAUCUCGGGGCUUUGUGAUGACAAAAAAAAAAA